ACAGCAGCCGCCACGGGAAUACGGAGGGGGCUAGCGUUGUUCGGAAUUACUGGGCGUAAAGCGCACGUAGGCGGCUUUGUAAGUCAGAGGUGAAAGCCCGGGGCUCAACCCCGGAAUUGCCUUUGAGACUGCAUCGCUUGAAUCCAGGAGAGGUGAGUGGAAUUCCGAGUGUAGAGGUGAAAUUCGUAGAUAUUCGGAAGAACACCAGUGGCGAAGGCGGCUCACUGGACUGGUAUUGACGCUGAGGUGCGAAAGCGUGGGGAGCAAACAGGAUUAGAUACCCCAGUAGUCCCUGUCUCUUAUAA
rnacentral:rRNA from 1 species